CUCUUGAGACAGCCACUGCCGACUUGGGGAUUCCUGAGUGUUCCGGGUUUGGGAGAGACUCUCAUCACCCUGGCUGUCUGUUUUCUGCAUGCCUUAAGGCAGUACCAGUUCUCAAAGUGUCCCCUCUGAUCUGUUGACCUUUUGCCAUCCAGUUCCCGUCCAGGUCUCGCUAGAGGAAGUCCAUCAGUGACAUUUUCUGCCACUGGAUCCAGCAGUCACUUCUCAGACCUCAUUCGUCUUUGACUUCCCUGCAGCACUCCCCUCUUCCUGAGGCUGUGCCAGCCAAGCUGCUGGAGCCUCGCGGGUUGUCUGCGGAACGAUGUUGGAAGUCAACGCUCUGCGGCUUCCUCCUCCCUGGGACUCUCAGGGCUACAUCUAUUUUCCAGGCUUAUCACCACAUCAAAAACUUCCAUCUUACCUCUGCCCCGGAAAUGGAGAUGGGACACUCCUUAAAGACAGUGACCAUAUCUACUGGAAAGUGAAGUCCUUGGUUGCACCUAGCACAGUGCUUUCAAUGAGGCCCCAUAAAAUAAAAACUGAUAAUGGCGAUGAUGAUGAUGACUGCCAGCCCCACACCCUAUAAACCAGACUGUGGAAAACCAAGACAGCAGCAUCUACCUACUUCUCCAACCCGUGGUUUUGAUCCCCUCUUGGGUUAAUCAUGUAGCUAAUCACCAAAGCUUCUGAGGCUGGAGUUUCCAGGCUCUUGCGCUUCCUGCAUAAUUUUGAAUGCAUUUUAAAAUUUAAGUUGACAUUUCAGAAUAUCCAUUCAUCACUUGCUCACAAUUAAAUUGAGAGCUUCUCAUGUGCACCAGAGUAACUGGUGAGAUGGGUUGGUGGGGGGCUUGGGGGAGGGGGCAGUGGGGAAGAGGAGAGGUUAUCCUACCUCAUUUAAGAGUGGUGGUUUCUCCCCGCCCCCAAAUAAAUGACAUCUUAUCGAAGAUUUUCUGACAAACCGUUUAGACAAUUAGGUUUUAGACAGAGGUGUGAUACGCAGGAAACAUCAGCCACGCUCCUCCUCUCACGUGGCACACUGGCUGGGAGUCCCCACGGGGCCACACUCCUGGCCACCAUGACCCACAGGGGCCUCCCUCUGCCGACAGUUGGGUCCCUUCUAGUCUUCUCAUCCACUGUGAAUUCAGUUCCGGGUGCCUUCAGGAGCUGCCCACAGCCUCAUGGUUCAUCCACCACUUGCAGAGCAAGAAAAGAAAAUCAAAAAGUUCCCCCAAAGCUCCCUGGCCGAAGGGGUCUGUGCUCUGAAUUUUAUCUUUGUUCUUGUGAAGACGCCUGGGCAUCAACCUG
rnacentral:lncRNA from 1 species